rnacentral:lncRNA from 1 species
UGAAUGCGACUGUGAAGGAUACCGUUCGUAUCAGUCCCUGAGCUGGUUUAUUAAGGCAGCGCAGGCGUGGGCUCCAGAAACAUCUCCUCCGACUGUGUUCAUAACGCUUUGCAGAGAUCGCCCGCAGGUCUCGCGUGGAAGCCCUUCUCUAAGGCCUCCUCUCUGUGCGCUUUCAGGGGACCGUGUUACGUGACCGCAGCACUGGCCUGAGCUGUGAGCAAGGGGAUUGGCCUGACRACUGGAAGUCUCUGCGGAUGAAAGGAGAAGCAAGCUAUGAAUUCCCACGGGGGUACCCAGAGGUUUUGCGYAGGCUCCCUUGUGUUAGCAGAUGCAUACCAAAAAAU